GAUGAACGCUGGCGGCGUGCCUAAUACAUGCAAGUCGAGCGAACGGACGAGAAGCUUGCUUCUCUGAUGUUAGCGGCGGACGGGUGAGUAACACGUGGAUAACCUACCUAUAAGACUGGGAUAACUUCGGGAAACCGGAGCUGAUACCGGAUAAUAUUUUGAACCGCAUGGUUCAAAAGUGAAAGACGGUCUUGCUGUCACUUAUAGAUGGAUCCGCGCUGCAUUAGCUAGUUGGUAAGGUAACGGCUUACCAAGGCAACGAUGCAUAGCCGACCUGAGAGGGUGAUCGGCCACACUGGGACUGAGACACGGUCCAGACUCCUACGGGAGGCAGCAGUAGGGAAUCUUCCGCAAUGGGCGAAAGCCUGACGGAGCAACGCCGCGUGAGUGAUGAAGGUCUUCGGAUCGUAAAACUCUGUUAUUAGGGAAGAACAUAUGUGUAAGUAACUGUGCACAUCUUGACGGUACCUAAUCAGAAAGCCACGGCUAACUACGUG
rnacentral:rRNA from 1 species